rnacentral:rRNA from 1 species
UACAGAAGUCCCAAGCGUUGUUCGGAUUCAUUGGGCGUAAAGGGUGUGUAGGUGGCGCCGUAAGUCGGGUGUGAAAUUUCGGAGCUUAACUCCGAAACUGCAUUCGAUACUGCGGUGCUUGAGGACUGGAGAGGAGACUGGAAUUCAUGGUGUAGCAGUGAAAUGCGUAGAGAUCAUGAGGAAGACCAGUGGCGAAGGCGGGUCUCUGGACAGUUCCUGACACUGAGACACGAAGGCCAGGGGAGCAAACGGG